UCCCUGAUAGCUCAGUUGGUAAAUAGCUCCUGCCUGCAAUGCAGGAGACCUAGGUUCGAUUCCUGGGUCGGGAA
rnacentral:tRNA from 1 species